GCACGUGUUGUUUUCGAUAAAUGCUUG
rnacentral:sRNA from 1 species